rnacentral:siRNA from 1 species
CCGAGUGCCGCUCACGCCCG